rnacentral:rRNA from 1 species
AAUGAACGCUGGCGGCAGGCCUAACACAUGCAAGUCGAACGGAUCCUUCGGGAUUAGUGGCGGACGGGUGAGUAACGCGUGGGAACAUACCCAAGGGUACGGAAUAGCCUCGGGACACUGGGAGUAAUACCGCACGUGUUCGAAAGAGGAAAGAUUUAUCGCCUUUGGAUUGGCCCGCGUUGGAUUAGGUAGUUGGUGGGGUAAUGGCCUACCAAGCCGACGAUCCAUAGCUGGUUUGAGAGGAUGAUCAGCCACCCUGGGACUGAGACACGGGCCAGACUCCUACGGGAGGCAGCAGUGGGGAAUCUUAGACAAUGGGGGAAACCCUGAUCUAGCCAUGCCGCGUGAUCGAUGAAGGCCUUAGGGUUGUAAAGAUCUUUCAGGUGUGAAGAUAAUGACUGUACCACCAGAAGAAGCCCCGGCUAACUCCGUGCCAGCCGCCGCGGUAA